CGCAUGGUAGGAGAGCGUUCCGUAAGCCUGCGAAGGUGCCUUGUAAAGGGUGCUGGAGGUAUCGGAAGUGCGAAUGCUGACAUGAGUAGCGAUAAAGGGGGUGAAAGGCCCCCUCGCCGUAAGCCCAAGGUUUCCUACGCAACGUUCAUCGGCGUAGGGUGAGUCGGCCCCUAAGGCGAGGCAGAAAUGCGUAGCUGAUGGGAAGCAGGUCAAUAUUCCUGCACCAUUGUUAGAUGCGAUGGGGGGACGGAUCGCGGAAGGUUGUCCGGGUGUUGGAAGUCCCGGUCGCUGCAUUGGAGAAGGCACUUAGGCAAAUCCGGGUGCGCAAUUCAAGGGUGUGGCGCGAGCUCCUUCGGGAGCGAAGCAAUUGGAAGUGGUUCCAAGAAAAGCCUCUAAGCUUCAGUCUAACGAUGACCGUACCGCAAACCGACACAGGUGGGCGAGAUGAGUAUUCUAAGGCGCUUGAGAGAACUCGGGAGAAGGAACUCGGCAAAUUGGUACCGUAACUUCGGGAUAAGGUACGCCCUUGUAGCUUGACUGGCCUGCGCCAGGAGGGUGAAGGGGUUGCAAUAAACUGGUGGCUGCGACUGUUUAAUAAAAACACAGCACUCUGCAAACACGAAAGUGGACGUAUAGGGUGUGACGCCUGCCCGGUGCCGGAAGAUUAAAUGAUGGGGUGCAAGCUCUUGAUUGAAGUCCCGGUAAACGGCGGCCGUAACUAUAACGGUCCUAAGGUAGCGAAAUUCCUUGUCGGGUAAGUUCCGACCUGCACGAAUGGCGUAACGAUGGCCACACUGUCUCCUCCCGAGACUCAGCGAAGUUGAAGUGUUUGUGAUGAUGCAAUCUACCCGCGGCUAGACGGAAAGACCCCAUGAACCUUUACUGUAGCUUUGCAUUGGACUUUGAACCGAUCUGUGUAGGAUAGGUGGGAGGCUAUGAAACCGGAACGCUAGUUUCGGUGGAGCCGUCCUUGAAAUACCACCCUGGUUUGUUUGAGGUUCUAACCUUGGCCCGUGAUCCGGGUCGGGGACAGUGCAUGGUAGGCAGUUUGACUGGGGCGGUCUCCUCCCAAAGCGUAACGGAGGAGUACGAAGGUACGCUAGGUACGGUCGGAAAUCGUGCUGAUAGUGCAAUGGCAUAAGCGUGCUUAACUGCGAGACCGACAAGUCGAGCAGGUGCGAAAGCAGGUCAUAGUGAUCCGGUGGUUCUGUAUGGAAGGGCCAUCGCUCAACGGAUAAAAGGUACUCUGGGGAUAACAGGCUGAUACCGCCCAAGAGUUCAUAUCGACGGCGGUGUUUGGCACCUCGAUGUCGGCUCAUCUCAUCCUGGGGCUGUAGCCGGUCCCAAGGGUAUGGCUGUUCGCCAUUUAAAGAGGUACGUGAGCUGGGUUUAAAACGUCGUGAGACAGUUUGGUCCCUAUCUGCCGUGGGCGUUGGAUAUUUGAAGGGGGCUGCUCCUAGUACGAGAGGACCGGAGUGGACGAACCUCUGGUGUACCGGUUGUCACGCCAGUGGCAUCGCCGGGUAGCUAUGUUCGGAAGAGAUAACCGCUGAAAGCAUCUAAGCGGGAAACUCGCCUUAAGAUGAGAUAUCCCUGGGGACUAGAUCCCCUUGAAGGGUCGUUCGAGACCAGGACGUUGAUAGGUCAGGUGUGUAAGCGCAGUAAUGCGUUCAGCUAACUGAUACUAAUUGCCCGUAAGGCUUGAUCCUAUAACA
rnacentral:rRNA from 1 species